UUUUAAAAGCAAUCAUGUAAACUAUAUAUUUGAAUUCGAUCUGUUGUAAAAUUACAAUCCUUGAUUUAGUAUAUCCAGUUCAAAAGAGAUCCCUAAAGGACAAAGAAAUGACUGUAUCAAACUCAACAUGGAACAAAAACAGAACAAAAAACUCAGCAUGACAUGAAAAUGCAGAAUGCCAAAGAGAAACAUGGUAAAGGUAAUCACGUCCAAUUGGUAUAGCCAAGAUAAGAUAUGUUGUCCACUAGGGAAAAAAGAGGGCUCAUUUUUUCUCAAAGCCAUUGGGCUGAGCUGUAGAUCCUUGUCUUGGCGAAUUGAGCUCCUCCCAAGCUUCAAUCCAAGUAACCAUUGCAUCACCAAGUUUGUGGAAGUAAGGAUCAAUAGGGCCAAGCUUUUCCUUAACCAAUUUGGAAAGCUCAAUGUAGCAUUUCUCCACAGUUGUGCACUCUUUUGGUAGAACAACAGAUUGGAAGAACGGAAUGAUGUCUUCCUGCCAAUAUAUGCCCUUAUAUUCCUUCUUCAAAUUGACAAAUGGGUUACUUGCUUUGCUGUGCCAAAUGUAUGGCAGCCCUGUUUUCACUCCAAGACCCAGAUGGUCACAGAUUACCUGAAAUCCACAUCCAACAAGCAUUACAGAAGCUGCAUCAUGGAGGUGCUAAAAAUGUUAAUUUGGCUGUAACAAGCACAGGAAACAUAUCCAGCAUAUUUUAUUGGGGAUCACCAUCUCCCAAAUAAGAGAUCUAUGAUUAUCAGGAUCUUAUCAAUAGGAAUAAGCAAAUACUCCAAAUGAAAAAUGAUGUCAAAGACAAAUUAAUUCCAAUACAACACAAAUAAUGCAUUGAAGGUACUCAGAAAACACUCAGAAUUUCAAACAACCAAUUUUGUCCCUAAGCCUCCGACUAAUAUUUAGGCAUCAAUCUACAUAUAAGAACAAGGACCAGCAUCAAGUUCAUUAUUCUCGCAGUAAAGUCUUCUGAUCACAUCCUCAAUCAAUCAACAAGGAAAUGCCAUCAGCAAAAACAUUACGCAAUGGCCAUAAUUAUUCAUGCAAACUUAUUAUUAGAAUGCCAGACGUCUAGCCGAGUUUGAAGCAUUACAAAAUGGCAAAAAGUGUGCCAAUUAGAUGGAGAGUGAUUCAAGAGAGCAAAUUUACCUUGGCACACCAGCCAGCCCACAUAUCAUCA
rnacentral:misc_RNA from 1 species